CCUACGGGCGGCAGCAGUCGAGAAUUAUUCACAAUGGGGGAAACCCUGAUGGUGCGACGCCGCGUGGGGGAAUGAAGGUCUUCGGAUUGUAAACCCCUGUCAUGUGGGAGCAAAUUAAAAAGAUAGUACCACAAGAGGAAGAGACGGCUAACUCUGUGCCAGCAGCCGCGGUAAUACAGAGGUCUCAAGCGUUGUUCGGAAUCACUGGGCGUAAGGCGUGCGUAGGCUGUUUCGUAAGUCGUGUGUGAAAGGCGCGGGCUCAACCCGCGGACGGCACAUGAUACUGCGAGACUAGAGUAAUGGAGGGGGAACCGGAAUUCUCUGUGUAGCAGUGAAAUGCGUAGAUAUCGAGAGGAACACUCGUGGCGAAGGCGGGUUCCUGGACAUUAACUGACGCUGAGGCACGAAGGCCAGGGGAGCGAAAGGGAUUAGAUACCCCUGUAGUC
rnacentral:rRNA from 1 species